GAUUUCUGGCGUGGCGCACUUGACCCGAGUCAGGUUUCAAUCUGGCUUGUUGUGUCUUGUGCACCUGCCAUCUCGUGCCGAAUACCUGGCCCUUUUAAGAUUGGAUGAAUGGAGUUGAUGGUAGAUUUUCUUCGGAUUAUUUAUCAUCUUCUCUUUACUCGUCCUUUCAAGGAAGGGAACAACCAGUGUUCGGCCCUUUUACUUUGAAAAAAUUAGAGUGUUUAAAGCAGGCUUGCGCUAUGAAUACAUUAGCAUGGAAUAAUAAUGUUAGGACUUCUUGUUCCUAAUGUUUUGUUGGUUUUUAGAGGAACGAAGUAAUGAUUGAUAGGGACAGUUGGGGGUGCUAGUAUUUAGCGGCCAGAGGUGAAAUUCUUGGAUUCGCUAAAGACUAACUAAUGCGAAAGCAUU
rnacentral:rRNA from 1 species